CAUCUGCCCUGGGGAGAGAGGAUGAGGAGACACUGAUUUGCAUUGCUCUCGCUGUGUUAUGGGGACUUUAUUUAUUCCUACCCCAUGGAUCUCUUAAAGUCAUCCCUCUCAUGUUGAUUGGGCAAGAUAUGAUUUCUCCACCUCUUAGGCAAGAAGCUACAUUGCUGAAGAUUUCUUAUAAACCACAGCCACAUGAAUGGGGCAAUUGACCAUGAUCUCACUGAACUACAGAAAGUGACCUCCUGUAAGCUCACUCAGAUAUGUGCCCUCAGCACAAAAUGUCUACUAACAACUGUCUACAUCUACAAGGAAGUCCC